GCACGGUUGGCUAGUAUUUCAUUGCAGUGUCCUGAGCUGCCCGGUCACUUCAUUCUAAAUUUGGGUUUAAAUAAAGGGCAUUUAGCUGCAGUGCCUCUAGAAAGCCCUGAAGUAAGGUCAGAUAGGCGUAUAACUUUGGCAUUGCCUUAAAGUGAAUUUUAGAGUUGUCAUUCCUUUGUGUACAAUGAAUAGAUAUUGAUCCUUCCCAAGAAAUCUUGAAUAAAUAAGCUACAAAUCAAGGUUGAUUUCCUACCUCAACGUCCCCAGCAGAAACAAGGUGUCAGUACCGUAGCCUCAGCAGAACCCUGGAUGAACUCUGCUUUCACUCCUGACAGUUAUUUCUCUACUUGCACACAGCAUCUUGAAUCGUUCUUCAUCCGUGCUCAUUGCUUCUCUAUUCACAACACCCAGCAAAUGGAAAAAAUCCAGAUACCUACUCAACUGAUUGAAUAGAGAGUGACAUCAUGAGGUAUUUGUACAAUGGAAUAUUUUCAGCUUUUGAGAAAACAGACUUAUGCAAUUCCUAGGGAUUACAGUAAGAAAAUCAUCAAAAUAUGGAAACAAUCCACGUGGCAAGGAAGAUGUAAGAUUGGCAUUCAAGUCAUUUAAGCCAGAGACUGACAAUGUGCAAAGCAGAAGAUGCAGAACAUCUUGGGACGAGAAUGAAAAAAAAAAUAUUGUGUAAAGCUACAUUCAGCUUCUAAGAGACAUACAUGAUAUGAAUGAGAGAGAACGGUAUUGUUUCUUACACAAAGAUAUUGGGAGUACUUACUACAAA